ACUGAAAAUACACUAAAUACGCUGUCAGUUAUCAUGCAUGUUUUUCUCACCGUGCAUUACUGACAGCAUCGAUGUUUUUGUUAUUUUUGUCAAACCUGUGUGUCAAUCAUUCGGUUGAUUUUAAUAUCGCUUAUAUUUUCGGCGCUACUGGCUUAUUCUCUGGUUUAGGUAGUGAUCCACACCGAUAAGUUUGCUGUUCCAGUGGUUGGGCCGUAGUCUGUGCCAUCCGGAAACUGGUGGAAAACCGGCGCCAAUGGUGUUGGUUAGGACUUGAUCCGUGAUCCUAAUCAGGAAACUACUGGGGAUGUCGUCCUCUGUUCUUUCGGUAAAACUGAUAGUCCUACCACAUAGCGCUGCCGUUGCUCGAUAUCGAAACUGUAAAAUUCCUGCUUCUGCGCAUGCAACUACCGCCGGCGUGGAGGGCAGGAGUAUCUCGUUCAGGUCGUCGUAUUUGAUGCAAAUUAUUUCUAGGACAUAAAAAAGUCGGCUGCUUACUAUGGCGUCCUAUGGCGACCGCUUUCAUCGAUCCGGCGGCCGGUUUCCUCAUCCAUUUGGCGGGAUCUGUUAUUUCCGAUCAUCACUCUAAAGUUAAAGAAUUUGAGCAUGUUGCUAGUGAUUCCCCAGGACGAGAGUCGUUGUAGGAUUCCUGUGGUGCAAGCCCUAUUAUAAGCUAUGGCUAAAUCUAGCGUUGCGAUUUCAAUAUGCAUUCCAUCUGCAAUUGCAUCUUCAAUGACCUGUCCCAGCGCCCCAAGGUACGUUCCGGUUCCUUGACCCGGACUAAAAACAUGUUGCCGAUAGUCAGUUUUUGCUCCGUGUUGAUGAAUUUCAUCAAGCGUCUGUUUACCAUCCUUUCAAGGAUUUUGACCAUACAGUUUGUUAGAGCAACGGGUCUAUACUUUCGCACGUCGUUUGAGGAGCCGGUACACUUGGGAAUCAGAACUACCAAGCUAUAUUUCCAACUAUCGAUGGUAUCGAUGAAUCGCAACGUUUUGGAUUGCAGUCGCAUAGUUUUUAUGUUUGUUAAGGAAUUUAGUAGAGUAGAGUAGAUUAUUUCCAACGGCGAUGUCCAAUAUAUUCAGUACUCUAGUGUUGUUGUUUUAACUCCCCCACGAUGACUAAUAUCGUGCUAAUAUUUAAGGAAUUCAGUCAAAAGUUCAAAAUUGAAACCAAUGGCCGCCAGCCAUGGAAGCCCACGGAAAGGAAAGCCCACAAGUUCCACCUCUUACUUGUACAACCAAUGAUAAGGAACAUGGUGGAAUACCAUGGUGACUUUUAAUCAUUGGCUCACUAAUAGUUGGUCAGUUGGUUUACCAUCGCUGGCGCACCUUCGACAAUACUCAACCAGGACACCGAGGCCGAGCGACUGUAUCUGCACAUUGGAAAACUGCCGCCUGAGUAAGACCAAGUGGACCAAGUAGACCACUGCCGAAGUCACUGCUAGUCAAUUUCUAGGGACUGCACCUCUGGCCCCAUCCCUACUUGAUAAGCCAUAGUUUGUGACAGCAAUAUUCCCGAUCAUUUACAGCAGUAAGCCCAAGUAGAAAAUAUGUGGGUCGUAAAACGGACAGGGGUCCCUUUUGAGCUAAAUCGUUAUAAAUUUGAUACAAUAUCAACUGGAUCGUACUGCUUGUUUCAAAUACGAUUUUACUCCACAGUGCUCAUCUGAUUCUUUAUCAUGUUCUGAGUGUCCUCUGAAAAUUUGAGCUCAUUUGGAUUAAAACUGAUUUAGCACAAGCUGUUUCAAGUUUGCAUGCAAAUUAGUAUGAAGAAAUUUAUUUUUUCAUUAUAUUGUUAAGAAUGCUUCCCCAUUAAGCGUAGGUUAAAAGAAAACCUACAUAGCUAAAAGGAAUACUCAACAGCUUUCACCCAACGAAAACUGCAUGUUGAUGAAUCGCCCCAAUAAUUAGUAAUCGAUUUUAAUACAGGUUGCGAAUCUUUAGUCAUGAUCGUUAAACUUCUUUCAGGGCAUCACUGAAAUGUGCAGUGCAGCAUAGUAGCCUGAAUUUGUGUGUGCUAUCUUUCGCGCCACUAGCAGCAAUGUUGCCUGUUGAUGAGUUAUGCAAUUAGCGCCAGAAAACCACAGUAUAGAUUAAAUUCGAUUACUAAUUAUUGGAACGAUUAAUUAAGAUGCGGUUUUCACUGAGUGAAAGCUUUUGAGUAUUCCUUUUAGCUAUGUAGGUUUUCUUUUAACCUGCGCUUAAUGGGGAAGCGUUAUUAACAGUAUAAUUAAAAAAUAAAUUUCCCCAUACUAAUUUGCAUGCAAACUUGAAACGGCUUGUGCUAAAUUAGUUUUUAUCCAAAUGAGCUCAAAUUUUCAGAGGACACUCAGAACAUGAUAAAGAAUCAGAUGAGCACUGUGGAGCAAAAUCAAUUUUGUUUAUUUUUUGGACACGAUAACGUCAAAAGUGGAUGUCCAUCUGGAGGUGCUAAUUCGUAAGUUUUUCGGCGACGAAACCCAUCCGGUCCACGAUGCCAGAAAGAGUGGUUAAUGUGGUGUAUACAUGUACCGGAUCUCGAUGCGAAUAAAGCCCGGUAAGUGCCAUUGCUGCAAUGGAACCGGAACAUAAACGAUGCUUACACACCAGCGUUUUACCUGUUGGUAGUGGCACGGUACCUGAAUGCAUAUCGAUUAUCGGUGACAGGUGACCAGUAGUCAAGAACAGACGGUACAGCAAAAGAGAGCAAGCGUACCAGUUCCUGGUUCCUACAGAUGUUGAGGAUGGACGAACGAAACAAAUCAGCGUGGGAAGCAAGGAACUGUUCAUUACAUUCAGGUGUAACGGAACUGGCGUUCUAACCAAAUUCUCAUCCGUGUCAGCAGUUUUAUCCACAACUACAUACCCAGCAAAAGCUCGGCAAAAAUUGUAGGACGAAAAUAUUUUACCGUACACGAAUAAUACAUCUGCGGGUUUACGGCACUGAAUAUCGGCCGAAGAGCUGAAACUGGCAACGGUGGAAACUGGUUGUAGAAAGAUAUAUACACUCAGUGCUUAAUGUAACAGAAAUUAGUCGAGUUGUGAAGGAUUUAAUUUAUUAUUCGGCAGAAUAGCAAAUGAUAAAUUUAAAUAUGUAAAACUAAAAAUAAAUUCUGAUAGAAUUAAAACUUAAAUAAA